UUUCCGUAAAUGUUCUUUUCUCUUGCGCCCUCGACUGAGAAGGACGUUCUCGUAUAUUACACCACGAAAGCUGCCAAGUUGUUGUUAUUAAAGUUUAUUAAAAUGAUCAAUAAUCUUACUAAAUUAGCUAGAGCAACGUUAAAACCCAAGCGGUAGCUAGUUGCGUGUGUAUUUGUAAUGGAAUUUUACUGAAAAAUAUGACCUCCAAGCUCCGUCUACCAUGUGGUAGCGUGGUUCCCAACACCCGGCUGGCUACUUGUGGCACAUCCGGCGGGUAAAGGCGUCAUCUGCGGCAUGAAUCCAGCGGCACUGCCACAAGGUACAUCAUGAAUCGGCAUGGAAAUAUACAGGCCUCUCCGUAGGCGAUUAUUCCAAGGAUAAGAGAAUGGCGUUCGAAUUUUCUUAUACACGCGUCCUUACGUUCGAUACUAGGAGGGACGCUACCUAAACAGAUUAAUUUCUGGUAUUAACGUUUUUCCAAUCGGAUUCGAUGUCAACCAGGUACAUCACAUCGAGCAUGGAGAUGGGUCAGGCACCACCAGCAGAUGAUUACAAUUUGCUAUGCGUAAUUGAUGAAAGAAAUCACCACGCGAUGCCCUUGGAGAAGUUUUUCGCUGCAACAGCCGUUUUAAUAGUUCGAAAAAGGAGGGGACAGCUUAUUUCCACAGCGUGGCGUGGUUUGGGACAAUGUCGACGAUUGUUCACUGAAAAGCUGUAUUAAAAUAUUGGAGCUCGUCCCGUGAUCAUCGUCUUCUUACCAUCAUUAAUCGCGGAUAUUCUGCCCUUCUGCGACUGAGAGGACGCUAACUUUUUAUGGGAGAAAAUCAUCAGCUUUCAAUAUUGAGUCCGUUUAUGAAAGCGUUCUGACAUCAUUGAGAUAUGAGUGGGGACGUCAUCAACGAACGCUCUCGAUCGACCGCCAGUGUGUGAUAUGCUUCGGUGAUCCUCUUUU